GGCUAGUUACCGAAGUGGUCAUAACGGCCUGGACUUGAAAUCCUGUGUGUCGGCUUGAAUCCGGCGCGAGAGUUCGAAUCUCUCACUAGCCG
rnacentral:tRNA from 1 species